GUUGGACGCUAGUUGGUGGAGCCCCCGCGGGAAACGACUAAGCGCGAGGAGCGUGCGCGCUCACGUCGCGGCGACGGUGGCGGCGAGCGGCGUCAGAGCUUGAAGGGGGGGGCUGACGUCUUCUGGCGGGUGGCGGUGUUGGAGACGAGAGCUUGGUUAGCCGGUAUUGCUUCUGUCCCAGGAACCCGACGGAGAGUGAGGGAACGAGGGUCGCUUUCGGGGGCUGCUGCCUUCCACGUACGCGUCGUCGUGAGGAGCGCAGCCCGGACUCUCCUGCAACCCCUCCAGCUCCCUUUUCCGCACGCCUCGAGGCAGCGGCGGCAACCGAGACAGCGUCUCACCUUCCCCCACCCCUUCCCCUUGUCCCCCCGCCCGAGAGGGCCCGGUCUGCGCCCCACCCCCGUCCGUCCGCCCGCUACGCCGCCGCCAUGUCGGCGCAGGCCCAGAUGCGCGCGAUGCUGGACCAGUUGAUGGGCACCUCCCGGGACGGGCCCUGGUGGUGGCAACCGCCUGUGUGCCACUGAAAAUCGUGCCGAUGCCUGGCAUACUGCAUAAAUGGAAGCAGGGUACCGCGCAUCAUGGGCUAAGGAAAAGAGCACUGGGCUGAGACUCAGGAGACCUGGUUUCUAGCCCCAGCUGUACCUCUAAUUGUAACCUUGGUUGUGAACCAUGUGCAAUGAUGUUGACCUCUGUGAUUCAACAUGAAAAGAAUUUAACCAGCUGCCCUUGCUGAAUCUUUUGUCAUGUCUCCUGAAUGCAUGCCUUCACAGUUGUUGAUCACAUAGCAUGGUCAUCCACUCACAGCUUAAAAAAAUACAGGGAGCAUCGGAGAGAAUGGGUUCAAUGUAUCUAUGCCUGCCUACUUCAGUCUGCAAGGGAGUGUCAGAAAGGCCCCGCAUUCGCCGAGCCGAGAUACUACUCGUCAACGAAUCAAAUUCAGUGAUGACAGAGUAUGCAAGAGUCACCUUCUGAAUUGUUGCCCCCAUGAUGUCCUGUCUGGAACUGUACGUGUUUAUUAAAUCUGUUGUUUUGUUAUUGGUA